rnacentral:rRNA from 2 species
CUGAUGCAGCCAUGCCGCGUGUGUGAAGAAGGCCUUCGGGUUGUAAAGCACUUUCAGCGAGGAGGAAAGGUUGAUGCCUAAUACGCAUCAGCUGUGACGUUACUCGCAGAAGAAGCACCGGCUAACUCCGUGCCAGCAGCCGCGGUAAUAC